ACAACGUCUCGAAAGGGACGCUAAUACCGCAUACGUCCUACGGGAGAAAGUGGGGGCUCUUCGGACCUCACGCUAUCAGAUGAGCCUAGGUCGGAUUAGCUAGUUGGUGAGGUAAUGGCUCACCAAGGCGACGAUCCGUAACUGGUCUGAGAGGAUGAUCAGUCACACUGGAACUGAGACACGGUCCAGACUCUAUACGGGAGGCAGCAGUGGGGAAUAUUGGACAAUGGGCGAAAGCCUGAUCCAGCCAUGCCGCGUGUGUGAAGAAGGUCUUCGGAUUGUAAAGCACUUUAAGUUGGGAGGAAGGGUUGUACGUUAAUACCGUGCAAUUUUGACGUUACCGACAGAAUAAGCACCGGCUAACUCUGUGCCAGCAGCCGCGGUAAUACAGAGGGUGCAAGCGUUAAUCGGAAUUACUGGGCGUAAAGCGCGCGUAGGUGGUUUGUUAAGUUGGAUGUGAAAUCCCCGGGCUCAACCUGGGAACUGCAUCCAAAACUGGCAAGCUAGAGUAGGGCAGAGGGUGGUGGAAUUUCCUGUGUAGCGGUGAAAUG
rnacentral:rRNA from 5 species